CUCCGGUUUAAAUUUCUUGGAACAGAAUGUCAAAGAGGGUGAGAACCCCGUCUUGGACCGGCAGUAGGGCCCAUGUGAAACUCCUUCGACGAGUCGAGUUGUUUGGGAAUGCAGCUCAAAAUGGGUGGUAAAUUUCAUCUAAAGCUAAAUAUUGGCCAGAGACCGAUAGCGCACAAGUAGAGUGAUCGAAAGAUGAAAAGCACUUUGAAAAGAGAGUUAAACAGUACGUGAAAUUGUUGAAAGGGAAGCGCUUGCAACCAGACUUGCGCGCGGCGGUUCCCCCUUCCUUUUGGUUGGGUUAUUCCGCCGUGUCCAGGCCAACAUCGGUUCUGGGGGUCGGUUAAAGGCCCGGGGAAUGUAUCUACCCUUCGGGCGUAGACUUAUAGCCCCGGGUGUCAUG
rnacentral:rRNA from 1 species